AAGUAACAGUCCGGACCACCACAUGCUAGUCUCCUGAUUUAAGGUAAAUUCCACAAGGAGACACCACCUAGGUCAGGUAGACCUUAAAUAAUAGCUUUGCACAAUUUAGCUUGGACCCUCCUUUCUUACAGCCUUACUAACUUUAUAGUUAGUAAUUCUUACUAACUACUUCUUGAAAUGUAGACUGAGCACAUAGACUCCCUUUUUCAUAUACUAACCAGUCAUUAGCACUCAGUUGACCUCCUCUUUUACCUCUCCCAUUUUGGAUUGUAAAAGAAAGCCUGGUGGUCAUUGCCUGAGGAAAAUUCUUACCUGCCUUUAUGACGCCAUACAAUUCAAGCCUGGUGACCUUGCUUGACCAGGGGACUGCUAUUGCUUAGGUUUAUAACUGGACUCCUGAGAGACUUGGGGGGAAUGGAGAGACGGAGAACAGAGAAGGAUAAGGAGGAUUUUGACCAGAGAGUACGUGUGAACGAGAUGGAAGAUGAGGAAGUACUAGCUGGCCCCUGGGAUGUAUAAUAUUAAGGUUGGUCCCUCUAAUAUUAUACAAGAAGGAACAAUGAUCCAGGACUUCCAUCUCUCCCUCUAUUUCUUCUUCUUACCAAUCAAUCCCAAGGCUGAUGUGAAGGAUGAUCUCUGCACCCGCCUCUCCUUGGCAAUUAAUUCCUCCUGAACAGAAGCGGUUCCUGCUGGGCAGCUGCCUCAGUCUCAGCUGCCUGACAUUCCACAGGGCAGCAGCCACACAUCUGCAGCAGUGGAUUGAAGUGUUGAAAAGUUGACAGAGACUCCAGGGACACAAAGAGGGUUCAUGAAUCUCCUAGGCCACACGGUUAUCGCCUGGAACAAUCAAUAAGAGAAAAUUGAAUCACUUUCAAACCUGCGUGCACGGCCGGGAGAGACCGAGCCCUUGUUUAAGAGCCUGCAAUCCAGGAGGGGCCAGCGGGCGGCGCCGGAGCACGCCCAGCCUUCCGCCUGCAGCCGGCUCGUGCAGCCAGGGGACGCGCAGUUUUGCAGGACUCGCUCAGCAAGAUGGCAUCCACUUAGAGGGACUUAGUGGGCAGUGCGGUCCAGUCAGGCCGCGCCGGAAGCGUUUGCAUGUCCUCCGGAAGUCUUGGACCUACUUUGCUUCAGCUGUCAACCUGGCACCCACCUACAGUCACCUGGAAAGAGGAAAUGUCACCUGAAGAACUGACUCCAUCGCCCAUGACAGUACCUGCGGGUCAUUUUCCCCAUUGCUGCUCAAUGGAGGGGCAGCCCGCUGUGUGUCAGAUCCCCCCAGAGGCUGGCCCUGCUGCUGAAGUGAGCUCUUUACCGUGACCAGCGGGUGCGCUCUGAGGGCUCCCUUGGUCCCUUCAGCCGGAUCACUUCUUUGUCUUCCUCUUUGUCCGGUGAUUUUGAGGGCACCGGCGCGUUGGAAAUGCCCUGGUAGAUGUGCUCAAGAAUGUGUCACUGCUAAGUGAACCGAUGGUGCAUCCUCACCACCCAGCCUGGGCAUUCCUGAACAUAGCUGGGCAAGCUCCUGGAAAUCCAGCCCUUGGAGGUGUCAUCUGCGACACUAGGAAUUCAGCUGGCCAGUAGCACCCAGAGAGCAGCUGUCUGAGAAGUCAUUCCAAAAGGGAGGUGCCUAGCAAAGCCCCGAGCUCUGCCCGCCACACAGUUCCAGCUGGCAGGCCUGGGAAGGGCCUGUUCUUCAGCUGACAAUCCCUGGGAUAAAACUAGCAAACAGAAACCAUGCAAUGGCCUCAGAAGCCUGGGCUUCACCCUCAUUUGGGUGCCAGUAAGAAGGAGACUGAACCAUUAAGAGGUGAGCUAGUGAGUGCUUUUAUGUUUCUGAAGGUACACUCUGGAAGGGAAGACUUCUCAGUGAUCUACAGAUUCAAUAAGAUGCCUGUCUAAAUGUGAAUGUUGGGCUAAGGACACAGCUUCGAGGCACUGUACUUGACUAGCUGGCACGAGACCUUGGCUUAGCAGCAGCUGAAACGUCCAUCACAGAAGAAUGGAGUCAAGCAGGUGUGGUGCAUCUGUACCACGGAAUAGCAUUUGGCUUGGUAAAGGAGGAGCUCCAGCUAUUCGUGACAGGAUGGCUGAACCCAGAAUACAUUGUGCUAAGUCGAAUAAGUCUGUCCACAGGGACAUAUGGCAGGGUUCUAAUUAUAGGAAGUUUCUAGUAGCCAAAAUGCUUAGCGUCCCUGAAUAGAAUGGUGUUGCCGAGCCUGGAGAGAAUCUGUAGAGCCGUUCUUCAGUGGAAACAAGUUCAGUUAAGCCGCGAGCAGUUCAGUGCCUUUAACGGGCAGCGCAGAGAGGAUGGGUUUCCUGUGCUGGGUUGCGAUUGAAAACAAAACCAAAACACCAGGCAAAUCUGGAUAUUGGUUGAGGUGUUUAGUGCCAUGCUGGGUUGGGGAUAUCUGGGCUAGAUUUUAUGCAGAAACUCACCAGCAUGCACACAUUAAAUUUGUAUGUUUCUGUAUAUCAGUCACACCUCAGUAAGUUUAACACACAAAAAAGGAAAGUCACAUAAUAAAUUAGAAUGCCUCUGUAAAGAUACCAUGUCCCAUUAAUAGCUUGAACAAAUUCCUACAAAAAUCUGAGCUGUCUAAUUUUAAAUAUUGAAACGUUGGUUUAAAAUUUCAGAUGGAAACUCAUGACUUAAAUCUAAAGAACUUGAGGAAGGACAAGGGUGGAAGGCUCACACUGUCCCAGGUGAAGGCUGGGGAAGAGCAAUCUCUCCGGUUCCAAGCACCAUGGAGAAGCAAAGAGAACUCACUGUAAAGACACGAUGCUCAGAUGAACAGCCUAGAGCUGGGGGUUGGGAAGCCCUCACAUGGGUGGUCAGUUGAUUUUCACUGGGGGUGACAAAGCCACUGGAUGGAAAAAGGGAGUCUUUUCAACAAACAGUGUCUAAAUGACUGUGUACAUUUCUUCUUCUCCUUGCUGUGACAAAACCACACACACUCACACACGCAUGCACACACGCAGACACACACACACUGUGGGUAGGGGGUUCCUUUGGCUUGCAGAGGUCAUACAGUCCAUCGUGGUCAUGGGAUAGCACGGAAAACAUUUAUGCAUCAAGAACUACAACCCACAAAACGGAAGGAAGUGGGGGCUUAUAAGAGUCAAUCUCUCAAACUAUAAGGAAUACUAACAAUGGUAAAAACGUCACAAAGCUACAUUCUACACUAAAAAAUGCAGAUAUUCUACAGAGAAGUUGUGCUAAUUGUCAAUCUGAAGGUACAUCAUUUACAAUAACUAGUCAUGUGGGAAGUACAACCAAAGAUACGGAGAGAACCCACACCCAUUAGAACGGUUACAGGAAAGAAACGGUAACAUUGGCGGGGACCUGCGGAGAGGUCUGAGCCUUCGUCCCCGGUGCAAAGACAGAGGGCUAAACAGUUACCAGGUAGACAGGAAUCUGACCUCUAGGUGUGCAGCCAGGAACCUUCACCAUGCUCCCGUGAAAGCCUCCCUAUGAACAUUGGUUGCAGCCACGUAGCCAAUACGUUAAAGGAAAUGAUGCCGCUGACUGAGGGCUGGGUGGGAAACACCAGCUCACAUAUGGAAUCACUGCCGCAGAAAAGGUGUGUUGGGGCACACUCUCAACAUGGAUGAACCUCGAAAACAUUUUGCUUAUUCAAGUGAGCUAGACAGAGAAGGCAGCCUACCCGGAAAAUGAAGGCAUUUCUGGGGCUGGCAGGUGGGUGUGGAGAAAGGUGGACUGGUACCAGGUACAGAGUUUCCUUCCAGGGCAACUCUGUCAGUAAAACUUACAUCCUGGGGCUGGAGAGAUGACGCACAGUGGUUCAAAGCACUGGCUACUCGUCCAAGGACAGGGGUUUGAUCCCCAGGAUUCACAUGCUGGCUCACAACCAUCUCUAACUCCAGUUCCCAGAGAUCUGAUGCCCUCUUCUGGCCUAAAGCCAUUUUGCAAGUGUGGGUUUUAUGAAAUAUGGUGUGAUGUUUUUGUGAUUUGUUUCCAUGGUGCGUCAAACCAACUAGUUACUGCUGGAGUCAGCAACUGAAUUCCUAGAGACUGCAGUGGGCUGUAAGUGGGAUGUUUGAGACUCGGCCUUAUGCCAGUUGCUCAUUUAGAUGCUUCUGAGUGGAAAGACAGCUUCUUUUCUUUAUCGGGGAUCAGCCCCCACAUGCAAACUUUGAAUUCAUUGUUAUCUUUUCCAUGUUCGGCAGCAAGUUGCCAGGAAAUGCUUUUGUGGAGAUGGCAGCUCAUCUUCCUGGUAGAAGAAGUGCAUUAGGAUCUCUUUAUCUCUAGCUGCUGGGGAGCCUCUGGGGCAGAGCAGAGCUUAGGAUAGCAGCCCCUGGAUUUGGUGUGUGUCUUAGUCACUGUGCUAUUGCUGUGAAGAGACACCAUGACGAUUUGUAGAAGAAAGCAUUUAAAUGGGGGCUUGCUCAUGGUUUCAGAGGGUAAGUCCCUGGUUAUCACGGUGGGAAAAAUGGGAAUGGGCACGCAGACAUGCUGAGGCAGGAGCUGAGAGCUUACAUCUGAUCCACAAGCAGGAGGCAGAGACAGAAAGGCUGGGCCUGGUGUGGGCUUUUGAAACCUCAACCCCCACCCCCUGUGACAUCUCCUCUAACAAGGCCACACCUCCUGAUCCUUCCCAAAACAGUUCCACCAACUAGAGACUAAGCAUUCAAUAUCUGAGCCUAUGGGGGCCAUUUGCAUUCAAACCACCACGCUGUGCAUUUAAAAUACCUACAAAGAUUGAAUAUAUAGAAAUACCUUUAUUUUUCAUUUUAAUUUUUGAGACUUUCUGAGUGUAAUGCAUUUACAUUCUAUCCUUCCUCUCUCCACUCCAGCUCCCACUGUAUAGCCCCUCCAGGACCUCCCUGCUCAAAUUCAUGACACACACACAUAUAUACAAAAUCUACUGAGCUCAGUUAGUGUCGCCCGUAUGUCCUCAGGCUUGAGUAACCGCCCAAGGUCUGUCUUCCUUCCUCAGCAGCCGUUGACUAUCUGUGGCUCUUCAUCUAGGGCUGGGCCUCGGGAACUUUCCCCAACCCGUGUGGUGUGUGACUGGUGUGUUGGGAAUUCGUGGACAGCUUCCCUGUUAUGUCUGGAAGGCACCACCUCAGACAGCUCUCACGGUCUGUCCUCCUCUUCCACUCUAGUCCCUAGCCUUGGGUGUGAGCGUGUUACCCAUGUCCCACUUGAGGCCGAGCUCUUCACCAUUGCUUAUCUCUUGACCUGCUGUGCGUCUCUCUGAUAGCCUCCAUCUGCUGCAGAAAGAAGCUUCUGUGAUGAGGGGCGAGACACUCAUCUAGAGACACUUAUCCAGUACCCUCCACUGAGAUGAGGCACGAAACACCAAGACACUGGCGGGUGAGGCUGCCUGCUCCUGGUGGCCUUCAGGCCGAGCUGGGGAUAGUGCUCAGCUCCUUGGUGUCUCAGUUCCCUGUUCUUCAACAUAGAUCUGCCACCAGGACCUGCUUGCUAGUAUUUCAUCAUUUUGAAAAUAAACAGGAAAAAAAAAAAAAACCCUGAAGAAAAAUGUCUGGUACUUCAUAAGUGCUACCUAAAAAAUCUUGUUAUGUGUCUGGAGGAAUUAACAGGACCUGGUGUCACGGUGACUUCAGGAGGGCACUUGGUCACAGCUCCAGGGGGUAGAGCCUUACUGGCAGCCUCAGAGGUCUGAGACUCUUCAGCUCCUGGAAAAGUCAGUGGUGUCAUGUGAUGUAGGGUGUGGCGGUGAGGGACCAUGACUUCUACCUUAUGAUUGAGCACACUGCAUUUAGAUAACUGGAUUCCCCCAGCACGGCACAGGGCAGUACUGACUGCAGGGCGGAGAAACCUGUUCAGAGAUUCCUGACCCUCGGAGAUCUCUGGGUCAUGCCCUGGAUAGCAAACUAGGACUCAUCAUCAUUUUCCCAAAUCCUCCUGCCUCAAGGUGGCGAAAGCGAAAUGAUUGGUUUCCUUGAAAAGGGCCUUGGCCCGAAUCCUGAGUCAACUCUGGGCUUUUCACCCUCUGAGCUGACAGACAUGGCCUUUCCUCUGGUUGAAGCCCUGCUGAACCCCAGGGGCCCACAUGCCACUGCCCUCCACACCCUGAGGGCCAGUGGUCUGCUGAAUUGCCAACUGGCUCAGAACUCAGAGCAUUCCAAACCAACCGCCUGCCCGGCAGUUGCAUAGGUCUCUGCCCCCUGGAAGGCCUGUGUCCCCCUUGCAAUAAACAGCCUCUCAGGAGCACACCUCCCCAGCCUCCCUCUACAGCUGGAAGAGGUUGUUCCAGCCUUGGGAUGGAAAGGGCUCAGCUCCAUCAGGCACCCUGAGAAGCAGAGGCCCUGCUGACCAUGGUGGAUCCGUGCCCUGCACUGUGAACAUGGGCAGCUUCCAGGAGUUUCUUCCUUUUCCUGAAAAUAAUUAUUUUUCCCG